UGCCUACGGGGGGCAGCAGUGAGGAAUAUUGGUCAAUGGGAGAGAUCCUGAACCAGCCAAGCCGCGUGAGGGAAGACGGCCCUAUGGGUUGUAAACCUCUUUUGUCGGAGAACAAAACCCGGGACGUGUCCCGGACUGCGUGUAUCCGAAGAAAAAGCAUCGGCCAACUCCGUGCCAGCAGCCGCGGUAAUACGGAAGGUCCGGGCGUUAUCCGGAUUUAUUUGGUUUAAAGGGAGCGUAGGCCGGCUUUUAAGUCAGCUGUGAAAGUCCGCG
rnacentral:rRNA from 1 species